UACGUAGGGAGCAAGCGUUGUCCGGAAUUACUGGGCGUAAAGGGUGCGUAGGCGGUAGGCCAAGUCAGAUGUGAAAUUCCCGGGCUUAACUCGGGGGGUGCAUUUGAAACUGGUUUACUUGAGUGCAGGAGAGGAAAGUGGAAUUCCUAGUGUAGCGGUGGAAUGCGUAGAUAUUAGGAGGAACACCAGUGGCGAAGGCGACUUUCUGGACUGUAACUGACGCUGAGGCACGAAAGCGUGGGGAGCAAAC
rnacentral:rRNA from 2 species